UACGAACCGAGCGAGCGUUGUUCGGAUUUAUUGGGCGUAAAGAGCGCGCAGGCGGUCGUUCAAGUCUAGUGUGAAAGCCCCCGGCUCAACUGGGGAGGGGCAUUCGAUACUGCUCGACUCGAAGGCAGGAGAGGGAAGUGGAAUUCCCGGUGUAGUGGUGAAAUGCGUAGAUAUCGGGAGGAACACCAGUGGCGAAGGCGACUUCCUGGCCUGUUCUUGACGCUGAGGCGCGAAAGCUAGGGGAGCAAACGGG
rnacentral:rRNA from 1 species